rnacentral:lncRNA from 1 species
UCUUACCCCACCCCUUCAUUUUACAGAUGUGAAAAACAAGACCCAGAGAGGGGAAAUCAUUUGAAUCCUGUCCUGGUAUUGCUUUGUGUUCCUGGAUUUGGAGAAUUUCUGGGAACACAGGAAAAGGAAAGGCUCAGCUCCAGAAGCAGACCCAGAAUGGCAUCCUUCUCUGAGACCCAGACCCCAGCCCCUCUUCAUGGAAGACCAGCACAAAGGAGGAAGUAGGUUAGGGAAUGGUAAGGCUCCAUGUGAUGGGACUAAUGUGGAGAGGCCUGGGGCCUUUCCCUGAGGACUGGAUGGCUGGAGUUUGGGAGCCUGAGUUGACAGAGGAGGCUAAGCCCGGGCAGCUACUUUGUUCCAGAAAUCUAAGGUCCCUGGAGGGAGGCUCUGCUUUGGGAGGGGGAAGGGAGCUAACAUUGCAGAGCACCAACUGUGAACCAGGUACAAUGGCAGAGCCUUUCCAUACCUGUACUCACAACUAGCGGGUGAGGAGUCAAGGCAAAUAGGUGUCUCAUAGCUCCCCAUAUCUCGGCAGUCGACCACCUCCUCCUUUGAUUCUCUGAUGUCACUGCCAGUUCUCCUCCUAUUGCUCUGACCUGUCUUUCUCUGUGUCCUUUGCAAACUCAUUCUCAACUCCUUAGACUCAGUCAAGUCCCCCAGUUACACACUUCCAUGGUACUAUAUAUCGUUCCUUCAGAGCACUUAACACAGUUAUUUCCUAUGUAUUUGUCCAGUCAUUUGAAUAAUGAUCCUAGUUUCAUUGGAUGGAAAGUUCCACAAGGUCAGUGACCAUUUCUAUCUGUGUUCACCAAUGUGUUCCCAGUGCCCAGAAACAAUGCCUAGCAUAAAGCAGCUGUUUUGUAAAUACUUGUUCAAUGAAUGAAU